AUCUUUAACAUAGGAAAUAUGGAAAGACAAAGGGCCUUGACUACCUAUGUGUUUUGGGUUAUCACUUAUUACCAUCCGUACUUCAUUAGAGACUGGGAAUGCAUAUUAUUCAAAAUUGUCCGAUUAUAUAGGUUAGAAUGUUUUCACUGAAAAGUAUAACAGAGAUAUGAACUGAACUAAAUACAAAUGAAGGCUAACGAAAAGAAAUGCUAUUCAAAAUAGGCAUCAAAUAUAAGGCACUCUAAAUGUAAAAUUAAAAUAAAAACCAGCAUCUCCAAACAAUGCUGUAUGCCACAAAACGAUUGAUUUCACAGAGCAAUGCGUGUUUGACUUUGCUCUGUUACAUAUGAUAAAUGUAAAUUUCAUAGCGCACACUAUAGACAGUAUACUAUUGAAUACAAUUUUAAAACAUCUUAAUAGCUAGUAUAUUAUAACAUUCUCCCCCCUAAAGGGAUAUGCACUGACCUUUCCCACAUGCACACCUCCUAUAUUUAAUAAUAUGAUUUCUUAUUGCACUAAAGUGUUACAAAUAUUGAACUUCACUGGAAGCCUAAACCACAUACUGUGUCUGUAGGUUUGUGUGUGUGUUUGCGUGUCUGUGUAUG